rnacentral:tRNA from 1 species
GGUUCUAUGGUGUAAUGGUUAGCACUCUGGACUUUAAAUCUAGCGAUCUGAGUUCAAAUAUCGGUAGGACCA